rnacentral:lncRNA from 1 species
CGUCUGCCAAUGAUACAGUAUAUGGCAAUAACCAGCAGCACCAAGUUGUUACGGGGCACUUGAAUUGCUGUCAUGAUUUAAAAUUUCAACCCCAAUCAUGUCCAAAUCAAAAUCACAAUCAUGAUUGCGACCAUAUUAACUCUGCUUUGUAUUUGGAAAGGUCGUCGCAACUUGCAAGCAUAACUAUCAUCACAUUGUAAACACAACAACAGUUUAAAAGGAUUUGGAUUCACUGUAGCUCAUGCUCCUAAUUACAAGCAUUCUUAUCACAAGAUCAGUUUUUAGGCAUUCGUUCAUCUCAUGCUUGCUUUGAUGUUCGUUUUUGUCUGCUUUGAUUGCGUUUUUUAAAUUAAUGAUAUUAGGGUUUUGUGUUAAAGACUUAAAAAUUUCAUUUUUUAUGUUUAGUUACUAAAAAUGAUGAACAUUAGAGUAAGUAUGAACGAAAUUAGUGGGAGUCAAAUGAAGAAGACUUACAAUGACACUCAAUGUGAAAGGUGUUGAUUGAUUGGUCAUAACUCAAGAGGAUGUAUGAAGCAAGGUGUUGAUAUGAGACCAAAAAAUUGGAUUGAUACUGAGCCAAUGAAAAAAAUAUUGGAGGUGUUGCAUAAAAUGCUCGAAAUGUAUCACGAAAUGCAGAAAAUCUUGUGGUUGAAAAUGCUGGAGAUGUUGCAGAAAAUGCUGAAAAUGUUAAUCCUAUAAAUCUUGUUGCUGAAAAUGAUGGACAAGUUGCACAAAAUGCUGAAAAAUGUUGUUGCUAGAAAUUUUACAAUUCAGGGACAAAAUGUUGUCAAUGUUGUUGCAAAUGAAGUAUUGCUUGGACAUGUAUGACUGUUAAAUUUUAAGGAUCGAUUUGCUAGUAAGUGUAAUAAUUUAGGGACUGAUUUGAUUAAAUGUAUUAUUAUUUAGGGACAAAUAUGAUUGAAAAUGUUGUAGUAGGGUGUUCCUGCAAGGAGGUAUGACAUUAGAGGGUCAAUUAUUUCAAAUGAGAGGCCUACGCAAAAACCAGUGAGGGGUCCUGCACCAACACAUCCAACUGCUCCAGGCGUUAUUAGAGUACCAUAUCCAAAUUAUGAUCCAUCCGGUCCGACUCAACCUAAGUUCGUGGAGUUUAUCCCAACCCCCGAAUUUUCAAAGAAGUGAUACUUGAUGCAUGUUUAAAUUAUGAUUUUGGAAAUGUAAUAUUUCGACUUGUUUAAAUUAUGCCCCCUAGUUGGGUUUCUUUUUGGUUAUGUAAUAUUUAAGAACAUUCUUCUAUGACUUAUAUAACUUGUUAAUGACCCAUAAUUGGGUUGCUUUUGCAAUUGUAAUAUUUCAAACUUAAGGUGCAGAUAUUAAUGCACUAGUAUAGGGAGGUAUAACCCGAUGCAUAUUUGAUACAUGAAACUCCAGAGGCUUGCCUUGUUCUCAAGUGGAGGUUUCCAAGUUGAUGACCAUUUAGGGCCUGUUUGUUUCCAUGGAAUGAGCCACGACGUAAAGCAUAAAUAGGGAAAGUUUCUAAAUAUGUGUACCUUCCAUCGUUUGGUUUCUCUGACAGACAGGAAGGAAAGAUUGUUUAAGGCAUGUCCCAUGUAGAAAAGCUUGGAAUGAAGUUGUGAUCCAUUAAAAUGACAAAAGUGCCCUUGUAAAACUUCAUGUGCCCACUUACUUUUCCGCCAAAUAACAUUUCUCACACAAUACACUUUUGCAAUUUUUAACGUUUUGUCUUUAUGCUAGAUACUUAUUGUAUUAAUAUAAUUAAUAAUCACUAUAUUUACAUGUAUAAUACAUUUAAAAUAUCAAAAUCCAUUUAUAUAUAUAAAUAAUGGAAUAGGAUCAAAUGACAUCAUGGUGUCAAAAUUAGUUUGACACUAAAUCUUAUCCAUUCAUUUCAUUUAAUCCAAAGGCUUAAAACUAUCACCAAAUUAAUUAACAUACAUCAAAUACUCCCUAUCACCUAAUUAAGAAACAUAUCUAUCAUUAUUAAUUCAUAAUCAAACAAUACCUUCUUGUUUUUGGUAGAUUCAAACCCUUUUUAUUUUCCCCUAAUUUUUUUCUUUUGGCCAUAAACACAAACUCUAACUUUAUAAUUUUUAUAAAAUCAUGAUAAAUCUUAAUUCAGUUAAACAUGAGACACAACGAGUCCUCUAAAAAAAAUUAGACCUAUUAGUGACAAAAUAAUCUAAUUAGCAUGAACAAUUCAAAAAUCAUUUGUCGAGCUUGUUGGUUUUUUUUAAUACAAUUUAAUUAAUUAUUAAAAAAAUAUGAGUAUAUGAGAUAAAGAUAAAGAAAUAUCAUUGAUGGUGAUGAUGACUCAAACAACCAUAGGUAUAUGAGUUCAACCAUUCAUUUUAUAAAAAAAGUUUAGAAAAGAAGUUUGAGUAUGAUUAUAGAAAUCUGGGAAAAUUUAUAAAUUUGGGGAAAUAAAAAAGAGAAACAAAUAAAUUUGGGGAAAUAAAAAUGGAAUGUUUGAUUAUAAAUUAACGAUGAUAGAUAUUUUUCUUAAUUAGGUGAUAGAGAGUAUUUGGUGUAUAUUAAUUAAUUUGGUGAUAGUUUUAAGCCUUUGGAUUAAAUAAAAUGAGGGAUGAGAUUUGGUGUCAAACUAAUUUUGACACCAUGGUGUCAUUUGAUCCUAACCCAUAAAUAAUAUAUAACAUUUUAAUAUAGGGGUAUUAAUGAAAUUUUCUAAAUAUACACCUUUCUUUCUUUUCACUUUUACUCAUUCCAAACAACUAAAAAAUUAUCUCACUUUCCAUCAACUUUCUACUCACUUUCAUACAAUCUUUCCUUCUAUUUUCUUUCCUUAUACUUUCUUUUGUCAAUCAAACAUAGCCUUAGUGGCAUCUCUUAUGUUUUACUGAAGUCAUGAUUCCAAAGACACAACUGCUGUCUUAAUAUACAUAAAUUAUUAAAUAUCCAAUCCAAAGGUGUAAGUUGGCAUAGAGCGGUUAUGGUGCAUAAGAAAAUUCUUAUGCACCGUGCAUAAAUCCCAACAUAAUUGCUUCCUACACCCCCAAAGGAAACCAAACAAAAUAAAACAAAACGAACCAAACGCGGAAACAAACUGAAUCAUCACCAUCGUUCAUCAUCAUCACCACUGGAAUCUUCAAUCUCAUCAUCAACACCGCCGUUCAUCAUCAUCACCGUACCGGAAUGCCAAAACCAUUUUGUUGUGGAAAUGGUUUCUGUGAGUUGUACUCCAAACCCAUUUUGCUGUGGAAAUGGUUUCCAGAAUCUUCAAUCUCAUCAUCAACACUGUCGUUCAUCAUCAUCACCGUAUCGGAAUGCCAAAACCAUUUUGUUGUGGAAAUGGUUUCUGUGAGUUGUACUCCAAACCCAUUUUGUUGUGGAAAUGGUUUCCAGAAUCUUCAAUCUCAUCAUCAACAUCGUCGUUCAUCAUCAUCACCAUCAUCAUCACCGUACCGAAAUGCCAAAACCAUUUUGCUGUGGAAAACCAUUAGAUGUACUUAAUGGUUUCCAGCAGUUGUACUCCAAAACCAUUAGAUAUACUUAAUGGUUUCCAGCAAUUUCGCAGCCAUAAAUUCCAGCCCACGGGUGCGGAAAUUCGUGCAAUUAUGGUGAAAAUCACGAACCCGAAUCCACAGUUCCACCUCCAAACCCAGAACCAUCACAACCCACUUCAGAACUCCCCAGGAACACGAAGAAGAAGCUAGCGAGACAACAGAGAAGGGAAGCAAAGAAAGCAGAGAAGAAAGCGGCGGCGAAGAAGCAGAAGAAGAAGAAGGAAACCGAACGGAAACGAAAGGAAUGAGAACAAAGUUAAAACCUAGAUCUACACUGUUUGGUUGUUUAUCUUUGAAAACCGAGUCCGGAUUUGGAUUAUAGAAGGAAAAGGAAUUUUAAAAGUGAAUUUUUUUUUUUUGAAAUCGGAGCCAUUUCCUACUACUCUGGCGGCCGCGCCGAUGCCCUAGGGCGGCCGGCCACCGCGCCGAAGGUGUGUAAAAGAUGAAGCUUCAUCCCAGAUUGGUUUCUUAGAGAGAGAGUGAGAGAAAAUCUGUUUUUCAAAAGAGUAGAGAGAGAAAUGACAAACACAAAAUGAAAGAAAUUUGAUGGUUGUGAAGUGUUUAUGCACGGCGCAUAAGGAAAUGGCUUAUGCACCAUAACUUUUUCCAAGUUGGCAUAGAUAUACAUAAAUUAUUAAAUAAGUUGUUGGUCAAUAAAAAUAUAAUUAAUUUUGUUUUUAGUCCCCACAAAAAAAGGUUAAUUAAGUAAAUGAUUUUUAUAAAUAUUUAGAAUUUUGUUUUUAGUCCGUACAAAAUAAAAUCACACUAUUUAGUCUGUGACAUUUUCCUUUAGCAUUUUAGAGAAAAAAAAGUGUUGAUGGAAAUUUUUUAUAGAGACUCAAAAUAUUGAUGCAAAAUUUUACAGGGACUAAAAAGUACGAUUUUAUUUUAUAGGGACUAAAAAUAAAAUUCUAAAUAUUAAUAGGAACCAUUUAUUUAAUUAACCCUAAAAAAUGUGACAUAUUUUGGUUAGUAUAAAAAUUUUCAUCACGUAAUCUUAGUCCCUGUUAAAUUAAAAAUUGUUUAAUUAUGUUUAAAAUUUAAAAUUUUUGAAUGAUAUUUUACAAAAUUGUUUAAAAUAUUAUUAAAAGUUCAUCCGCAAAAAAUUAGCUCAAAAUUUGAUUUUUAAGUCCAAAUUUUUGUUAGUUUUAUCUUGAAAUUUUGCUGUUUAAAUAAAGUCAUGUUUGAUUCAUUAGAUGUUAAAAAAAUUUAAUUUUAUAAAAGAGUUUUUUAUAAUGUUCUUAACAUGUCUAUAAAAAAUCAUUUAAAAAUUUAAAAUUUUAAUCAUAAUUAAAUAAAUUUUAGGUUAACAGGAACUAAAACUAUGUGUUAAAAAUUUUUAUAGGGAUUAAAACGUGUUACUUUUUUCUUUAUGAGGACUAAAAAUUAAAUUCUCUAUAUUUAUAAGGACUAAAAACUUAUUUAACUCAAUAACUAACACAUACCUUUUAUACCAAAAACUUCAAGAGGAGUUACAUGGCUUAUACUUUGUUGAACACUUCUUUCUAUAUGCACAACAAAGAUGUUUCUUUUAUCAAAAGACGUAGUUUGGCUUCAAAGUAUGUAAACAUCUGAGACAUGGCUUAUUUAACCCAACAUUUGUUAGCUUAUGAUGAUGAUUCUACCACUCAAAUUUCUCUAGUGUUUAUGAAUGUUAUGUUGUACCCUCAUUGGACAAUUAUUCCUAUGACUAAAACACUAUUAUUUCUUGUUUGGAAUCGUUUCCUUUCUUUAUAAUGAAAGGA